rnacentral:rRNA from 1 species
AGCGGCGGACGGGUGAGUAAUGUCUGGGAAACUGCCUGAUGGAGGGGGAUAACUACUGGAAACGGUAGCUAAUACCGCAUAACGUCGCAAGACCAAAGAGGGGGACCUUCGGGCCUCUUGCCAUCAGAUGUGCCCAGAUGGGAUUAGCUAGUAGGUGGGGUAACGGCUCACCUAGGCGACGAUCCCUAGCUGGUCUGAGAGGAUGACCAGCCACACUGGAACUGAGACACGGUCCAGACUCCUACGGGAGGCAGCAGUGGGGAAUAUUGCACAAUGGGCGCAAGCCUGAUGCAGCCAUGCCGCGUGUAUGAAGAAGGCCUUCGGGUUGUAAAGUACUUUCAGCGGGGAGGAAGGCGAUAAGGUUAAUAACCUUGUCGAUUGACGUUACCCGCAGAAGAAGCACCGGCUAACUCCGUGCCAGCAGCCGCGGUAAUACGGAGGGUGCAAGCGUUAAUCGGAAUUACUGGGCGUAAAGCGCACGCAGGCGGUCUGUCAAGUCGGAUGUGAAAUCCCCGGGCUCAACCUGGGAACUGCAUUCGAAACUGGCAGGCUAGAGUCUUGUAGAGGGGGGUAGAAUUCCAGGUGUAGCGGUGAAAUGCGUAGAGAUCUGGAGGAAUACCGGUGGCGAAGGCGGCCCCCUGGACAAAGACUGACGCUC